rnacentral:rRNA from 1 species
AUUGAACGCUGGCGGCAUGCUUUACACAUGCAAGUCGAACGGUAACAGGCCUCCGGGUGCUGACGAGUGGCGAACGGGUGAGUAAUGCAUCGGAACGUGCCCAAUCGUGGGGGAUAACGUAGCGAAAGUUACGCUAAUACCGCAUAAGCCCUGAGGGGGAAAGCAGGGGAUCGCAAGACCUUGCGCGAAUGGAGCGGCCGAUGUCAGAUUAGCUAGUUGGUGGGGUAAAGGCCUACCAAGGCGACGAUCUGUAGCGGGUCUGAGAGGAUGAUCCGCCACACUGGGACUGAGACACGGCCCAGACUCCUACGGGAGGCAGCAGUGGGGAAUUUUGGACAAUGGGCGCAAGCCUGAUCCAGCCAUGCCGCGUGCGGGACGAAGGCC